rnacentral:lncRNA from 1 species
AGAUUCAUAGGUUGGGCAAUAUCUAUAUAUUUUUUUCCUUCCCAUCAGUUCAAAAUUAUUGGAUUACAGGCUAGGUUAGAUUUGUAUUCAUAACUACCUAAGAAUAGCUUUAGAGUGGAUUGGUUUGAAUCUCAUUGGAGGAAAAAAAAUCUGCUAGUUGUACUGGCCCAACCUCUAAUCUCAUAGCAUUUUCAGUCCAAUCAUCCAAAUAAGCCCUUAGGGGGUUGUCAUGGGUGCUACAGCGAGGCAGAUGGGGCAAGAUUUUUUGUUGGUUAAGUUGUCAUCUAAGGUCAAACCCACAUGGCCUACAAGAAGAGGUGAAGUGUCAUAAGAGAUAGGAGCAUCAGUUUGUGAUUGUUGCCAAGAAGGUGAAGCAUGGAAAUUUGAAUUAUUUAAAUCAUGAUUAGAUGAGCAUCUAUCAAUUGAUUAAAAAAAAAUGAAAGAAAGUAACUAUACAAAAUCCAUGAAUAAGAUAAGAAUAUUGUUAUGCUACCAAACACUAGUUGCAAAAUAUAUAAUGAACAUGCAAAUUAGAAAAUAGUUUUUUUUUCCUUUAAUUUUUGGUACAAGUAGCCUAGGCAUAGAGGCAAAGAUAAUUGAGCUAGGAGGAGGUUGCCACC